rnacentral:rRNA from 1 species
UACGUAGGGCGCAAGCGUUGUCCGGAAUUAUUGGGCGUAAAGAGCUCGUAGGCGGUGUGUCACGUCGGCCGUGAAAACCUGCAGCUUAACUGUGGGCGUGCGGUCGAUACGGGGCAUCACUGGAGUUCGGCAGGGGAGACUGGAAUUCCUGGUGUAGCGGUGAAAUGCGCAGAUAUCAGGAGGAACACCGGUGGCGAAGGCGGGUCUCUGGGCCGAUGACUGACGCUGGAGGAAGCGAAAGCGUGGGGAGCAAACAGG